rnacentral:rRNA from 1 species
AUACGGAGGAUGCGAGCGUUAUCCGGAUUUAUUGGGUUUAAAGGGUGCGUAGGCGGAUUGUUAAGUCAGUGGUGAAAAGCCAUCUCUCAACGAUGGUCGUGCCAUUGAUACUGGCAGUCUAGAGUUCCGUUGCCGUGGGAGGAAUGAGUAGUGUAGCGGUGAAAUGCAUAGAUACUACUCAGAACACCGAUUGUGAAGACAUCUCACGAAGCGGCGACUGACGCUGAGGCACGAAAGCGUGGGGAUCGAACAGGAUUAGAUACCCUGGUAGUCCACGCAGUAAACGAUGAUGACUAACCGUUGGUCUUAUCAGAUCAGUGGCCAAGCGAAAGCGAUAAGUCAUCCACCUGGGGAGUACGACCGCAAGGUUGAAACUCAAAGGAAUUGACGGGG